UACGGAGGGUGCGAGCGUUAAUCGGAAUUACUGGGCGUAAAGCGCACGUAGGCGGCUUUGCAAGUUAGAGGUGAAAGCCCGGGGCUCAACUCCGGAAUUGCCUUUAAAACUGCAUCGCUAGAAUUGUGGAGAGGUAAGUGGAAUUCCGAGUGUAGAGGUGAAAUUCGUAGAUAUUCGGAAGAACACCAGUGGCGAAGGCGACUUACUGGACACAUAUUGACGCUGAGGUGCGAAAGCGUGGGGAGCAAACAGG
rnacentral:rRNA from 1 species